rnacentral:misc_RNA from 1 species
GCCUCAGCGGCCACCUUCCUUGCAAAGACUAAGCCGGCCCCCUCGGCUCCCUCUUCUCUAUUUCUCCAGAGUCCCGAUACUCUCACUGCUCAUUGUCUUUGCCUCUGCACAUAAUCCCUCAUCUUUUCCUUACCCUCAGCCUCUCUCUAGGUCUCGCCUCUGCACAAAAUACGUCGCCUCUCAAUCUUGCCACCCAGGCUCCUGAGUUGUGCACAGAAGAAUGCCCCUCGCAGGGUAAUGUGGGAUGAUUUUCACAAAGGGUGAUCUCAGGGAAGUGAGCGAAGAGGUUGCCAA